GAAUAUUGGACAAUGGGCGCAAGCCUGAUCCAGCCAUGCCGCGUGAGUGAUGAAGGCCUGAGGGUUGUAAAGCUCUUUCGUCAGGGAAGAUAAUGACGGUAUCUGAAGAAGAAGCACCGGCUAACUUCGCGCCACCAGCCGCGGUAAUACGAAGGGGGCUAGCGUUGCUCGGAAUCACUGGGCGUAAAGCGCACGUAGGCGGCUUUCUAAGUCAGAGGUGAAAUCCCGGGGCUCAACCCCGGAACUGCCUUUGAUACUGUAGAGCUUGAGUUCGGGAGAGGUGAGUGGAACUGCGAGUGUAGAGGUGAAAUUCGUAGAUAUUCGCAAGAACACCAGUGGCGAAGGCGGCUCACUGGCCCGAUACUGACGCUGAGGUGCGAAAGCGUGGGGAGCAAACAGG
rnacentral:rRNA from 1 species